GCGGAUGUAGCUCAGUUGGUAGAGCAUCACCUUGCCAAGGUGAGGGUCGCGGGUUCGAGUCUCGUCAUCCGCU
rnacentral:tRNA from 4 species